rnacentral:rRNA from 1 species
ACGUAGGGUGCGAGCGUUGUCCGGAAUUAUUGGGCGUAAAGGGCUCGUAGGCGGUUUGUCGCGUCGGGAGUGAAAUCCACUGGCUUAACUGGUGGCUUGCUUUCGAUACGGGCAGACUGGAGGUAUGCAGGGGAGAACGGAAUUCCUGGUGUAGCGGUGAAAUGCGCAGAUAUCAGGAGGAACACCGGUGGCGAAGGCGGUUCUCUGGGCAUGUCCUGACGCUGAGGAGCGAAAGUGUGGGGAGCGAACAGGAUUAGAUACCCUGGUAGUCCACACCGUAAACGUUGGGCGCUAGGUGUGGGAUCCAUUCCACGGGUUCCGCGCCGCAGCUAACGCAUUAAGCGCCCCGCCUGGGGAGUACGGCCGCAAGGCUA